rnacentral:rRNA from 1 species
GUAGGGGGCGAGCGUUAUCCGGAUUUAUUGGGCGUAAAGCGCACGUAGGCGGCGCUGUAAGUUGGGCGUGAAAGCUCCCGGCUCAACUGGGAGAGGUCGUUCAAUACUGCAGCGCUUGAGGUUGGAAGAGGAGAGUGGAAUUCCCGGUGUAGUGGUGGAAUGCGUAGAUAUCGGGAGGAAUACCAGUGGCGAAAGCGACUCUCUGGUCCACACCUGACGCUGAGGUGCGAAAGCGUGGGGAGCGAACGGGGGAUUAGAUACCCCGGUAGUCCACGCCGUAAACGAUGGAUACUAGGUGUAGGGGGUCAUUUAACCCCCUCUGUGCCCGAAGCAAACGCGUUAAGUAUCCCGCCUGGGGACUACGGCCGCAAGGCUA